rnacentral:rRNA from 1 species
CAUGUCCUUUAGGAUUGAAUUUAAGGUCUAGCCUGCCCACUGAGUUAUUAAAUGGCCGCAGUAUUUUAACUGUGCAAAGGUAGCAUAAUCAUUAGUCUUUUAAUUGAAGGCUUGUAUGAAUGGUUGGACAAGAUAUAUAUUGUUUCAUUUAAAUUAAUAGAAUUUUAUUUUUUAGUUAAAAAGCUGAAAUUUUAUUAAAAGACGAGAAGACCCUAUAGAUCUUUAUAGUUGUUGGGUUUAAUUUAUGAAGAAUGUUUUAUUUUUAAUUUAUUUAACUAUUUUAUUGGGGUGAUAGUAAGAUUUGUUUAACUCUUAUAUGAUUUAAUACAUAAAUUAAUGAUUAGUUGAUCCAGUACUAUUGAUUAUUAAAAUAAGUUACCUUAGGGAUAACAGCGUAAUUUUUUUAGAGAGUUCAUAUCGAUAAAAAAGAUUGCGACCUCGAUGUUGGAUUAAGAGAUAAGUUUGGGCGCAGCCGUUCAAAUUUAAAGUCUGUUCGACUUUUUAAUUCUUACAUGAU